GAUGAACGCUGGCGGCGUGCCUAAUACAUGCAAGUCGAGCGAACGGACGAGAAGCUUGCUUCUCUGAUGUUAGCGGCGGACGGGUGAGUAACACGUGGAUAACCUACCUAUAAGACUGGGAUAACUUCGGGAAACCGGAGCUAAUACCGGAUAAUAUUUUGAACCGCAUGGUUCAAAAGUGAAAGACGGUCUUGCUGUCACUUAUAGAUGGAUCCGCGCUGCAUUAGCUAGUUGGUAAGGUAACGGCUUACCAAGGCAACGAUGCAUAGCCGACCUGAGAGGGUGAUCGGCCACACUGGAACUGAGACACGGUCCAGACUCCUACGGGAGGCAGCAGUAGGGAAUCUUCCGCAAUGGGCGAAAGCCUGACGGAGCAACGCCGCGUGAGUGAUGAAGGUCUUCGGAUCGUAAAACUCUGUUAUUAGGGAAGAACAUAUGUGUAAGUAACUGUGCACAUCUUGACGGUACCUAAUCAGAAGACCACGGCUAACUACGU
rnacentral:rRNA from 1 species